CCUACGGGAGGCAGCAGGGGGGAAUAUUGCACAAUGGGGGAAACCCUGAUGCAGCAACGCCGCGUGAGUGAUGACGGCCUUCGGGUUGUAAAGCUCUGUCUUCAGGGACGAUAAUGACGGUACCUGAGGAGGAAGCCACGGCUAACUACGUGCCAGCAGCCGCGGUAAUACGUAGGUGGCGAGCGUUAUCCGGAAUUAUUGGGCGUAAAGAGCGCGCAGGUGGUUGAUUAAGUCUGAUGUGAAAGCCCACGGCUUAACCGUGGAGGGUCAUUGGAAACUGGUCGACUUGAGUGCAGAAAAGGGAAGUGGAAUUCCAUGUGUAGCGGUGAAAUGCGUAGAGAUAUGGAGGAACACCAGUGGCGAAGGCGGCUUCCUGGUCUGUAACUGACACUGAGGCGCGAAAGCGUGGGGAGCAAACAGGAUUAGAUACCCUGGUAGUCCACGCCGUAAACGAUGAGUGCUAAGUGUUGGGGGUCGAACCUCAGUGCUGAAGCUAACGCAUUAAGCACUCCGCCUGGGGAGUACGGUCGCAAGACUGAAACUCAAAGGAAUUGACGG
rnacentral:rRNA from 1 species